UACGUAGGGGGCUAGCGUUGUCCGGAAUCAUUGGGCGUAAAGAGCGUGUAGGCGGCUCGGUAAGUCCGCUGUGAAAGUCCAGGGCUCAACCCUGGAAUGCCAGUGGAAACUGUCGAGCUAGAGUCCGGAAGAGGCGAGUGGAAUUCCUGGUGUAGCGGUGAAAUACGCAGAUAUCAGGAGGAACACCAAUGGCGAAGGCAGCUCGCUGGGACGGUACUGACGCUGAGACGCGAAAGCGUGGGGAGCAAACAGG
rnacentral:rRNA from 1 species